CUGAGUUUUACUGACGCCUCUGUAAAAUUCUCCAAAUGCAGUCAGCCCUGUCUUAGAGGAUGUCACAGACUCUCCAUACAGACACCGGAGUAAAUAAAUCUCCAUCCAGCUGGGAACGUAGCAGAGCCUAGACAAGGCCAGCAGAUGGCAGCAGAAUCAGCAUUUAGUUCUGGUUUAGGACUCGCCUGUUUCUAGAUGUUUCUGUGGAACAAAACUACAAUUAUUCCAAAAUAUUCAAAGAAGAAAGCUGAAAAGCCACAAUGCCACUCCAAUCGACCGGCACCAUUCAUUUCCCUCGGUGCUGAUUGGCUGAACCUCCAUGGCGGACCCCAAGGCCAGAACCACCUGGCUGCAGAAUCUCCUCAACCUUUGACCCCGAUGCUGAGGCAGCGAAGACCUGGGACCAAGGAGCUGCAGGAUGAAAGUCGUGGACCUCACCGCACCUGCAUCAGUUCACCUAAUGAACUUCCUGCUUCAGAGCCACGUCUUCUCCUCCAGCCAGGUUCUGUCAGAGUCUCAAUCUGACCAAUCCUGAAACAGACAACAUGGAAAACAGCUGGAUGAGUCUCUGGCAGCUGGAGCCAUUCUCCUCCAGGUGAGAACCAGGCCCUUAAACUCCUCGCCUCUGCUCUGGAGCCUGCUCACGGUUCCACCAUCUUCUCAGCGCCGUUCUGCUGGCAUCCAUGAAGAAAAUCAGUGCAAGACAUUUGGAGGUUAAAAACUCCUUCCUUCACAGUCUCUGAUGUCCUUUAAGAUUUUCUGCAUCUUUUCCAAAAACGCUUUAAGAAUCCAGACAAGCGCGUCUGAUGGUCACACACCGGGCUGAGUUUCAUGCUGAGGCGCCGACAUGUUCACCGACAGAGAUUCACUUUACAGAGGAACUGAGGAAGAAGCUGCUUCUGCAGACUCUGCUGCUUGACUGAGUGUGCAGGUCUGAACGCUGUUCCUUUGGCUUCAGCUAAUCCAAUGGCAGCUCAGCUAAUGAGUCUGCUGGAGAACAGCCACUCUAUAAAGGAGCUGCAGCUGCUCCUCAAUCUGCCCCUCAAAUCAGACUCAGUCUUCCCUACAGCAACACCAGGUGAGAUCCUGACAGAAACUUUUAAAAGGACGCUGCAGCCAUGCUCGCUCCAGGCGUCUGCAUGAAUAUCAUCAGCGCUCGUCACUCUAAGGACGGAUAUGGAACCGUUUCCAACCCCGAGAAGUUCCUGAACCAGGAUUUCCAGCAGCUGAAAGAGUACUGCCUCAUCCGCCAGGUGAGGUUCAUCGAUGACAUGUUCCCCCCCGACCACCGCUCCAUCGGCAGGGACAUCCUGCAGCCCGCCGACCUGGUCCGGGUGGAGUGGGUCAGACCGUCGGUGAGUUCAGAACACGCAGAAUGCAGCUGGAGGUCAGAGGAUGUUUAAUGAACUACAGAGGCUGAGGAUGAUUCAGGUCCAGAGAAGGAGGCCUUCUUUUCAUGUAUUUUUGUACUAGAAAAUAAUUAAAAUCAGGAAAGCAGGAAAUUCAGAAGCAGGGCCGGCCCAAGCCUUCAUGGGCCCCUAAGUGAAAUUUGGUUUUGGGGCCCUCUAGUUUUGCUAAUAUUGUAGACUGGCUGCAAUCAGCAGUCAAAUUGUUAGAUCAUUCAAAAACCUGCUAAACUUAUUGCAUCUCUGACAGUGAUGUUUACAUUAUAUCCAAUAUGCACUUAUAAUAUAGGAUACAUGUGUUGGCCCAUUUAUCGGCGCCGAUUUCCUUAACUUUGGGGGAAUGGGUGAUCGGCCAAUGCUUACAUGUGACGUUGAUCUUAUCCACAUCAGCCUCUGUCCUUGUCUGCUCUGCAAUGAGAAGUUUUACUAACAGACCAGCCCACCAGGUCAGGUCUGCACAUUUUCAG